CUGGCGGCGUGCCUAACACAUGCAAGUCAACUUGACUGAAGGAGCAAUCUGACAGUAGAGUGGCGCAAGGGUGCGUAACGCGUAAGUAACUUGCCCAAGGUAAGGAAUAACGUCGAGAAAUCGGCGCUAAUACCUCAUAAUGCAGCGGAUCCGCAUGGAUAUGUUGUUAAAGGUUUACCGCCUUGGGAUAGGCUUGCGUCUGAUUAGCUAGUUGGUGUGGUAACGGCACACCAAGGCUACGAUCAGUAACUGGUCUGAGAGGAUGAUCAGUCACACUGGAACUGAGACACGGUCCAGACUCCUACGGGAGGCAGCAGUGAGGAAUAUUGGGCAAUGCUCGAAAGAGUGACCCAGCAACGCCGCGUGGAGGAUGAAGGUAUUCUAUAUCGUAAACUCCUGUGAGAGCAGACGAAAGACAGAUUAUUAAUCUGGAUGACUGUAUGCUCAGAGGAAGCCCCGGCUAACUACGUG
rnacentral:rRNA from 1 species